UAAUUAUGUUACAAAAAGUGUUAAAUGAUAAGUAAAAGUUUUUAAAUUAAUGUUCCCAUUUACUUUGUUUUUCAAUGUCUGGUGGGAAAAAAAGUAAAUUUAAGCAAUUUUUACAUUUUCAUGCUUGACAUUUUUAAAACCAAGUUUUCGUGAGAAUCACCCACAUACAUAGAUUAAUAAUUUUUUAGUGUAGGGACCACUUUGUCUGACAUGCAUGAAAAAUUUGUUUUUUGAUAUGUGCCUUUGAAUAUUUUAUAAAUUCCCUAUUCAAUUUGUCUUUUUGAUAGCUUCAGGGACUAUAAAUCCGGAUUCAGGAAAAAACAAUGGCCGCUCGAGCCCUACAGAGGGUGAUCACCUGCUCCUGAUCCACAAUAAGGACACUUUCCUCUCGGUUGAUACGUGAUCUGCUGUUUCAGCCGCCCCUUCAGUGACCCGUGACCCUUGGUGACCCUGAACUGAAUUUUGCAAACAGUUAAAAGUGGCAGGCGAUCCUUCAGCUUUCUCUCUGGCAGCACAAGGACGAAACGAUGGCUCAGACAGCUUCAGGGGACAGGCGAGCCGCAGAGAGAUAAGCGAACAAACAGAGCUGAGGAAGAGGAGGGAGGGGAGGACGAAGAAGAAGAAGAAGGAGAGAAAGUUGUCAAAGAUCAGGGUGACCCUGAGCAGCGCAGAAAAACAUCUCCUGCUGAAAUCCAGAGAUGGGAAAGCAGGCCACCUUGUAAAAUCUUUAUUCACCGCAAUCAAGCGCACUGUCGGAUCCAUUCUGGCAAACACUGACAUGCUCAAAUUUUGAGAUAGUGUCUUCGAAACCCCUUUCUGCCUGAUACUGGAUUAACAUCCAAACCUGUCUGAGCAGAGAGUAAAUGUUUACUCUACCUGAUAUGGAUGCUUUGUUUACAUGGAGUUACUUUUGAGUAGAGUGACUUACAGUUCUGGGAAUCGAACCCAUGACCUUGACAUUGCUAGUGAUGUGCUACACACACUAAGCUGUAGCGUGUGAGCUGCUUGCCAAUUGCAAUUUCAGUGGAAACGCAAUGAUGGUGAGAUAUUACGCCAAUAACGACUUUUCAAAGAAUGCUAAUACACACUUUAAUACCCUACAAUGGCAAAUCGCAGUGAUUGGUUACUCUCUGAAUGGUGACUGAUGAUUCUUAUUGGGCUCCAGCUGGGUUUAGUGCCCCUGUAAAACAGAACAGGUGAUGAUGACUGUUGACUAGUUACAAAAGCAUCAAUGCUUUUUUAAAAGCAGCGUCCGCUACCCUUUGCCUGACAGCAUGGAUGACCUCUCACAUGGGUCUUUUGUUAGUACAGUGCCUAGAGAAUACAGCCAUUUGCAUUUUACAAUUGUUUAACAAAUAGCCACCCGUGGCAGGCUAUUAUCUCCCACUGUGACCCCAACACUCGUGAACACACACACACACACACACACACACACACACACACACACACACACACACACACACACACACACAGCUGUGGUCUGACACACAGGGGUUAUUCCCACUUACACGGCAUAGAAACCAGAGACACCUGAGAGCUACAUCUGUGAAACAUAUGGAUUUAUUAACGCUGAUAUAGAUAUACAUAGCAAGACAUACAGAGAGACUAUUGUUAAGGAGAUCGGUUUGCUAAUGGGUUAUGUAAAUGAAUCGCUCUGUCUCAUUUAACUUGAUUUUACUUGUCUGCUUCAGACAAAAAAAAUCAGGUAAAUUUGGGAAAGUUGAAAUGAGUCGAGACUUUAUUUUCCAUAACUCAUUAGAGAGGAUUCAAAUGUUUCACGGUGGCUUUGUUCAGAAAGCUGGAUGUUUUUCUCCUCUUAUCCAGAGAAACAUUGAGUUGCUUUGAUGUUGCUUUAAAAUAAAUGUGAAUUUGAUGUUU